CUGCGUGAAUACGUUCCCGGGUCUUGUACACACCGCCGUCAACCAUGAAAGUGACCAACCACCCGAAGUCCGAUUCGUCGGCCUAAGGUGGGGGCAUGAGUUGGGGUU
rnacentral:rRNA from 1 species